GACAGAGGGUGCAAACGUUGUUCGGAAUUACUGGGCGUAAAGCGCGUGUAGGCGGCUAUGUAAGUCGGGCGUGAAAUCCCACGGCUCAACCGUGGAAGUGCACUCGAAACUGCAUAGCUAGAGUCCUGGAGAGGAAGGUGGAAUGCUUGGUGUAGAGGUGAAAUGCGUAGAUAUUGGGAGGAACACCAGUGGCGAAGGCGGCUCACUGGACCGGUACUGACGCUGAGGCGCGAAAGCGUGGGGAGCAAACAGG
rnacentral:rRNA from 1 species